UGCUUGUAUGGUAGCUGCUGUCGUUCGCUGGCUGGUCGACAUCGUAGACAGAUGGGAGGUUGCUUUUCACCUACGAGUUUCGUAAUAGUUUGGAUAAGAUAGGACUUGUGGUACUGCGUUGUUGAAUGCAUGACACCCGAAAGUGAGCGAGCACGGAGGUAGAUGUGGACAACUAGAAGGAAACUGAGAGCGAAUCUAUGUUUGCGUGUCACAGAGCAAUGUUGGUGGCAUAGCUGGAAGGGGAGAAAGGGAGUCGAGCAGACAAACAGCUCUUCGGCGUUGACGACGGCGACGAUCGUGGCGUCGUCAAUACGGCGGCGUGGAUGAGCGACCGACCGACCGACCGGCAAACAAACAGACAUCACAAGCUACCACCAAGAGACGAUCAGCCUCCUCCUGUUGUACCCCGCUCCAUCCGCGAGGACCCGUUGAAGCCCGGAAGUGUGCCUCCGUACAAAUAUGGCGAAAGCGGGACACAGGGCAGUUUCAAGAAAAUGAUGUGUAUCGUACAUAUACAGACUGUUGUAAGUCUCUAUUUAAAUCACUUUUUCUCUCUCUCAACGCUCUUUUGCAGUCUUCCCAACCCUCUAGUGUUACAUACCCACUUCAAUUAUACAGGAAUCUCCUUUAACAAGUCCGGACGAAAGCAGACGGAUGAGAAGACACGAUAGGCCGAAGACACAGGUCCCCAAGUGAAGCUCGAUGGGCCGAAAUGGGACGGGGCUGGAUGGCGUUGCAGAUUUAAUCCUCUUGAUCCGAGAGCUGUUCUCAGAGCAACAACGAAUCAGCAGGCAAGCCAGUUGAGAAACAGUCAGAUAAAUGAACGACAAGACAUACAAUUCACACGAUUUCGCUCGGCCAGCGAUCAUGGUGGUCCUGUUAAUAGCAUCUUCGUUGCACUUCGAGGAAUAGUUUUUUGCGUUUGUUCGAUGUGAAGGUAGGCGAAACAAGGGCGUGCCUAGGCUUCGCUAACGGCAUAGUGUUCGCGACGUUUAAGUUCCAAAAGGGUAAAACAAGGACAGAAAUUACGAAAGACACAAGAUAUCUGUCAUGGACGUUAAAGGAAGUCGACAGCGAUUCAUCGCAGAUGACUUCAAUGCUGAUGUUGAGGUCGUGUCGUUUGUUCUGGCUUCCUUGUUUGUCAUCUUGGAGUAUGUGACCGGGUACAUACAGAGGAUUCAUUCAGGUGAUUCUGGCGGCGGCGAAACUGGUCAGGAGUAAAGAAAAUGGAACCAAGGAUAGCGCUUUCCAGAUGCUCUAUCUCACUGCCAUUUUGACUUGUCUUGUGAAAGAAAUGGCCCACAUACAGCCUGCACUGUUCCUAGUUCAGGCCUCCGCUUCGAGGACCGUGCGUGGACCGUUUGUCGAAAAGCCUGGCAGGAAAUUCAUGCAUCUACUAUGCUCCGCGGAUUCUCAAACAUUACCGACGGCUAACUUUUGCUACUAAAAAAGUAGAGCAGUUAGUUAAACAUAAAUAGUAGCAGUUAGGCUGUCCCAGGUUAUCCCACAAGAGUCCAGCAAGGUCGAUGUUUUUCUAACAGGCGCAACCCAGGCCUGUGCCUCUAACCAAAUAUCUAAAAAAAUAUAAAGGAUCCAAAUAAGUUUGUG